rnacentral:rRNA from 1 species
UACGGGGGGGGCAAGCGUUGUUCGGAAUUACUGGGCGUAAAGGGCUUGUAGGUGGCCAACUAAGUCAGACGUGAAAUCCCACGGCUUAACCGAGGAACUGCGUCUGAUACUGGAUGGCUUGAGUGUGGGAGAGGGAUGCGGAAUUCCAGGUGUAGCGGUGAAAUGCGUAGAUAUCUGGAGGAACACCGGUGGCGAAGGCGGUUCUCUGGGCCUGUACUGACGCUGAGGAACGAAAGCGUGGGGAGCGAACAGG